rnacentral:rRNA from 1 species
UACGGAGGAUCCGAGCGUUAUCCGGAUUUAUUGGGUUUAAAGGGAGCGUAGGCGGGUUGUUAAGUCAGUUGUGAAAGUUUGCGGCUCAACCGUAAAAUUGCAGUUGAUACUGGCAUCCUUGAGUACAGUAGAGGUAGGCGGAAUUCGUGGUGUAGCGGUGAAAUGCUUAGAUAUCACGAAGAACUCCGAUUGCGAAGACAGCCUGCUGGACUGUAACUGACGCUGAUGCUCGAAAGUGUGGGUAUCAAACAGG